rnacentral:rRNA from 1 species
AUUGAACGCUGGCGGCAGGCCUAACACAUGCAAGUCGAGCGAGCGGCGGACGGGUGAGUAAUGUAUGGGGACUGCCCGAUAGAGGGGGAUAACUACUGGAAACGGUAGCUAAUACCGCAUACUAUCGGAUAACCCAUAUGGGAUUAGCUAGUAGGUGAGGUAAUGGCUCACCUAGGCGACGAUCCCUAGCUGGUCUGAGAGGACGACCAGCAACCCUGGGACUGAGAAACGGCCCAGACUCCUACGGAGGCAGAGGUGGGGAAUUUUGGACAAUGGGUGAAACCCUGAUCCAGCCAUCCGGCGUGUAGGGUGAGGGCCUUCGGGGUGUAAAGUACUUUUGGCAGAGAAGCGGUAUCUGCAGAAUAAGCACCGGCUAACUACGUGCCAGCAGCCGCGGUAAUUC